UACGGAGGAUGCGAGCGUUAUCCGGAUUUAUUGGGUUUAAAGGGUGCGUAGGCGGACUGUCAAGUCAGCGGUAAAAUUGAGAGGCUCAACCUCUUCCCGCCGUUGAAACUGGUGGUCUUGAGUGGAUGAGAAGUACGCGGAAUGCGUGGUGUAGCGGUGAAGUGCAUAGAUAUCACGCAGAACUCCGAUUGCGAAGGCAGCGUACCGGCAUCCAACUGACGCUGAGGCACGAAAGCGUGGGGAUCAAACAGG
rnacentral:rRNA from 1 species